AGAAGGCUAGGCUGGCGUGGCGUUGGUUGUCCACGUGAAAGUGCGUAGGCUGGGGGUUUUGGUAAAUCCGGACCCCUAAGGCCGAGACACGAGACGAGCGACUACGGUCGUGAAGCAGUUGAUGCCCGGCUUCCAGGAAAAUCCUCUAAACGUAUGUAUAUAAGAACCGUACCCCAAACCGACACAGGUGGUCAGGUAGAGAAUACCAAGGCGCUUGAGAGAACUCGGGUGAAGGAACUAGGCAAAAUGGUACCGUAACUUCGGGAGAAGGUACGCUGUUGCCGGUGAUGGGACUUGCUCCCUAAGCUAGCGACAGUCGAAGAUACCAGUUGGCUGCGACUGUUUAUUAAAAACACAGCACUCUGCAAACUCGUAAGAGGACGUAUAGGGUGUGACACCUGCCCGGUGCCGGAAGGUUAAUUGAUGGGGUUAGCGUAA
rnacentral:rRNA from 1 species